AUUGAACGCUGGCGGCAGGCUUAACACAUGCAAGUCGAGCGGAGAUGAGGUGCUUGCACCUUAUCUUAGCGGCGGACGGGUGAGUAAUGCUUAGGAAUCUGCCUAUUAGUGGGGGACAACAUUCCGAAAGGAAUGCUAAUACCGCAUACGUCCUACGGGAGAAAGCAGGGGAUCUUCGGACCUUGCGCUAAUAGAUGAGCCUAAGUCGGAUUAGCUAGGUGGUGGGGUAAAGGCCUACCAAGGCGACGAUCUGUAGCGGGUCUGAGAGGAUGAUCCGCCAAACUGGGACUAGGACACGGCCCAGACUCCUACGGGAGGCAGCAGUGGGGAAUAUUGGACAAUGGGGGAAACCCUGAUCCAGCCAUGCCGCGUGUGUGAAGAAGGCCUUAUGGUUGUAAAGCACUUUAAGCGAGGAGGAGGCUACUGAGACUAAUACUCUUGGAUAGUGGACGUUACUCGCAGAAUAAGCACCGGCUAACUCUGUGCCAGCAGCCGCCGUAA
rnacentral:rRNA from 1 species